rnacentral:tRNA from 1 species
GGCCCGUGUAGCUCAGUCGGAAGAGCGAUUCACUCGUAAUGAAUAGGUCCGGGGGUCUAUUGCCCGCGCGGCCC